AUUCUAGUAGCUUAAGACCAAAG
rnacentral:tRNA from 1 species